UUCCGGUUGAUCCUGCCGGACCUUACUGCUAUCGGGGUGGGACUAAGACAUGCGAGUCGAGCGUCUCUAGCUAUGUUGAGACGCGGCAGACGGCUCAGUAACGCGUGGCUAACCUACCCUCAGGACGAGGACAAACCCGGGAAACUGGGGCUAAUACUCGAUAGGUGAGGAUGCCUGGAAUGGUUUCUCACCCAAAGGACUUGGAAACAUGCUUCCUUUGUCGCCUGAGGAUGGGGCCGCGCCCGAUCAGGUUGUUGGUGAGGUAAUGGCUCACCAAGCCUAUAACCGGUACGGGCCGUGAGAGCGGUAGCCCGGAGAUGGGUACUGAGACAAGGACCCAGGCCCUACGGGGCGCAGCAGUCGCGAAAACUCCGCAAUGCACGAAAGUGUGACGGGGCUACCCCGAGUGCCAUCCGCUGAGGAUGGCUUUUCUUUGGUAUAACUAGCCAGGGGAAUAAGGAGAGGGCAAGACUGGUGUCAGCCGCCGCGGUAAAACCAGC
rnacentral:rRNA from 1 species